AAUUUAUUUUUUUCCUGAAAUUGCAGAAAGAGAAGAAAGGAGUGUUUAGCGAAUUGGCAUUUUUCAAAUCAGUUUACGCCAAAGAAGAUGGAAGCUUUAAAGAGGGCACACUUCCUCAUCAAUUUGUGGAGGAUGCCAACAAAAAGGUCCAAGAAAAUCUUGCGAGUUCCUCUUCUUCAAAGCCCGUAAUUGAAAUUGAGAAUGCAGUCUUUAAUGAGCUCAUGUAUAAAGGUGAAGUACCUAAACGUCCUCUGAAUUAUGGAUUUGGAGUGAAGCAAAGCGACAUCUUUGGAGUGGAAGGUUUGCUGAGGAAAGAAGGGUCAAGCUAUGUUAACAACAAUGCUAUGGAAGUGGAGAACAUGAAAGGUGAAAUAUCAGUUGUCAAGAAGCAAAAUGAGGACCUUGCGCAACAAAAUCAAGUUCUAAACACCAAGUUUGAAGAAACAACACAAUCAUUUAAAAUGAUUGCUUCUUUUUUGGGACAAGUUUUGAAGGAAGUACGCAAAGGGAAUGUUUCAUCGAACCUUUUAGAUGGUGCGGAAUCAGCAAUAAAUAUGAUUACUGAUGAUUCUGGUGGCAAUGGUGACAACCAGGCCGAGAAAUGAGACUUUGACACUAUUGCCAAAUGCAAGAUUAUUGAUGAUUCAAGUGGUAAUAGUAAAUGUAGAUCAAGAGAUGAACAAGUUAUCUUGAAGCUAAGCUAGCAUAACGAUAUGUUUACUUGUUCGUAGUCAGGAAGUUGUUUUUAUUUAGUUUUGGACUAUCUUGUACAAAAAAUGAUAAUGCUAG